CCGGGCGACGGUUGUCCCGGUUUAAGCGUGUAGGCUGGUUUUCCAGGCAAAUCCGGAAAAUCAAGGCUGAGGCGUGAUGACGAGGCACUACGGUGCUGAAGCAACAAAUGCCCUGCUUCCAGGAAAAGCCUCUAAGCAUCAGGUAACAUCAAAUCGUACCCCAAACCGACACAGGUGGUCAGGUAGAGAAUACCAAGGCGCUUGAGAGAACUCGGGUGAAGGAACUAGGCAAAAUGGUGCCGUAACUUCGGGAGAAGGCACGCUGAUAUGUAGGUGAAGUCCCUCGCGGAUGGAGCUGAAAUCAGUCGAAGAUACCAGCUGGCUGCAACUGUUUAUUAAAAACACAGCACUGUGCAAACACGAAAGUGGACGUAUACGGUGUGACGCCUGCCCGGUGCCGGAAGGUUAAUUGAUGGGGUCAGCGCAAGCGAAGCUCUUGAUCGAAGCCCCGGUAAACGGCGGCCGUAACUAUAACGGUCCUAAGGUAGCGAAAUUCCUUGUCGGGUAAGUUCCGACCUGCACGAAUGGCGUAAUGAUGGCCAGGCUGUCUCCACCCGAGACUCAGUGAAAUUGAACUCGCUGUGAAGAUGCAGUGUACCCGCGGCAAGACGGAAAGACCCCGUGAACCUUUACUAUAGCUUGACACUGAACAUUGAGCCUUGAUGUGUAGGAUAGGUGGGAGGCUUAGAAGUGUGGACGCCAGUCUGCAUGGAGCCGACCUUGAAAUACCACCCUUUAAUGUUUGAUGUUCUAACGUUGACCCGUAAUCCGGGUUGCGGACAGUGUCUGGUGGGUAGUUUGACUGGGGCGGUCUCCUCCUAAAGAGUAACGGAGGAGCACGAAGGUUGGCUAAUCCUGGUCGGACAUCAGGAGGUUAGUGCAAUGGCAUAAGCCAGCUUGACUGCGAGCGUGACGGCGCGAGCAGGUGCGAAAGCAGGUCAUAGUGAUCCGGUGGUUCUGAAUGGAAGGGCCAUCGCUCAACGGAUAAAAGGUACUCCGGGGAUAACAGGCUGAUACCGCCCAAGAGUUCAUAUCGACGGCGGUGUUUGGCACCUCGAUGUCGGCUCAUCACAUCCUGGGGCUGAAGUAGGUCCCAAGGGUAUGGCUGUUCGCCAUUUAAAGUGGUACGCGAGCUGGGUUUAGAACGUCGUGAGACAGUUCGGUCCCUAUCUGCCGUGGGCGCUGGAGAACUGAGGGGGGCUGCUCCUAGUACGAGAGGACCGGAGUGGACGCAUCACUGGUGUUCGGGUUGUCAUGCCAAUGGCACUGCCCGGUAGCUAAAUGCGGAAGAGAUAAGUGCUGAAAGCAUCUAAGCACGAAACUUGCCCCGAGAUGAGUUCUCCCUGACUCCUUGAGAGUCCUGAAGGAACGUUGAAGACGACGACGUUGAUAGGCCGGGUG
rnacentral:rRNA from 1 species